rnacentral:tRNA from 1 species
UCCCUUUUAGCUCAGACGGUAAAGUGUGUGCCUACAAUGCAGAAGACCCGGGUUCGAUCCCUGGAUCGGGAA